CACAAGAGAAAGUAAUUUAGCUAAAGGAAACAAUUAAAGACUUUAGGAAUUCAAUAUUGAAAGAGGGAAUCACGAUACUUUGCAAAGAUUGGAGCAUAUGACCCUUUAAGAGGUCACGCAGUCAAAGUGGGGUAUGGAUUGAGCCCAAGUCAAGAUGGGCGUGAAUUGAUCCCAAAGCCAAGUUAGAAUCCAUUACUGGAAUCGGGCUUAAACAAGUUAGAGGCCCAAGUUUGAAACAUCACAUAACUUCACAUAAAAUGUAGUACAGGAGGAAUUUUCAUCAUUCAAAAACCACUGAGUAGCACGACAUUAAACUUGCAGUAUUGAAUCAAAGAUCACAUUUCAAAGAUAGCAAACAUCAUUAAUAACUAAAGUCUACAGGAGCACAAAGAAAAACUUAUUGAUUCAACUAGCUAAUAUUUACAGAAUCACGGUUUGGUCCGUAACUAAUACAACAGGCUAAAAUAUUAAAGGAAAUGCUUAUUAACUACGAGCAGAUGCGACAAUUAAAUUUUCCAGCCAUGAAGUGUGGAAUCCAAUGUUUCUCAACCAUAUCUGCUCAAAAUAAAACUAUGGACUUAAGCUAUUACACCAAGAUUUCUGCAAAUUCUGAGUUUACAAUAAUCAAACAUCGUUUAUACAUAGUGGAACUAGGUGUUACCAAAUUAAACUACAUAUUCUCAUAUUUUUUGGAAUCAGACAACUCAACUCCAAACAUCCAAGGCUUAAACAGAUGAAUCACAUAUAAACUGAACUUCCCAAAUACUUUUGAUUGUGAUGUGAUGCUUCUCACCUUUAUGCAAACAACAAAUGUGCUUAUAGACUAAAUGAUUCUGAACACAUGAAUUUCACUUUUAGCAAGUAAUAAUAGGCAAAGUAAUAGCCCUAUCAAUGCAGUAAAAUAUGCAUAUGCUUCAGGAAACCAAGCUUAAACAACAAUCUUACUCUAGCUAGCAUUAUUAUCUAAAACAAAGACUAUGUCAAAGAGAUAAGUUCAAAUAUGGACCCAUCAGCUUACAAACAGACAUGAAAUCAUGUAAGAACAAUCAAACAGUCAUAACUUCAUAUUAAAACAGAAAACUUUGAUUAUUCUAAAGAUCAAAGUUGUACAGAAUCAUAGAGGUGUACCUAAUUGCCAAAAAAACAAGAGAAAACCAGAAAAUAAGUCUCUGAAUCAGCAGGAAUAUCAGGAAGGUAACAUCUUCAUAUCAGGAGCGCAAAUCCAACAGUUCAACCAAAGGAAGAAACCCAGAAAAACCAGUGAAAACUUGAAGCCAAAUGACCGUUGUUCCUCUUUCUAUGCUUUGAAGAAUUUGUAAAGUAAAAUUUCCUACUGUUUUUCUUUCAAUGUGAAGGGAAAAUCAGCCUGUAUGUAAGUGCUUUUUAUAUGUCUUUUAGAGAAUUCUUCUGUAUUUCGUGUGUGUGUGUGUGUGUUCAGAGAAUUGGAGAGAGGGGAUGAGGUCUUAUAUAGAGAGUGAAUUCUAUCA
rnacentral:lncRNA from 1 species